AAGUGAUUGCAUUGCGUGGUAGGGGAGCUUCGUAUACGGGCAGAAGCUAUACCGAAAGGAGUAGUGGACUGUAUACGAGUGAGAAUGCUGGCAUAAGUAGCGAGAAAUAGGUGAGAAUCCUAUUCGUCGAAAACCUAAGGUUUCCUGAGGAAGGCUCGUCCGCUCAGGGUUAGUCGGGACCUAAGCCGAGGCCGAAAGGCGUAGGUGAUGGACAAUCGGUUGAUAUUCCGAUACCACCAGAAGCCGUUUGAGAGAAGGGGUGACGCAGGAGGAUAGGCUAAGCGCACUGAUGGAUGUGCGUCCAAGGGUUAAGUCAGGCUCCUUAGGCAAAUCCGGGGAGCUAAUGAUAAGGCCUGAUGGGGAGUGCGCAAGCACGAAGUGGCUGAUUUCACACUGCCGAGAAAAGCCUCUAUCGAGGAAGCUGGUGCCCGUACCGCAAACCGACACAGGUAGGUGAGGAGAGAAUCCUAAGACGAGCGAGAGAACCCUUGUUAAGGAACUCGGCAAAUUGACCCCGUAACUUCGGGAGAAGGGGUGCUCUAGAAAUAGAGCCGCAGAGAAUAGGCCCAGGCGACUGUUUAGCAAAAACACAGGUCUCUGCUAAGUCGUAAGACGAUGUAUAGGGGCUGACGCCUGCCCGGUGCUGGAAGGUUAAGGGGAAGGGUUAGCCAAAAGGCGAAGCCUUGAACUUAAGCCCCAGUAAACGGCGGCCGUAACUAUAACGGUCCUAAGGUAGCGAAAUUCCUUGUCGGGUAAGUUCCGACCUGCACGAAUGGCGUAACGACCUGGGCGCUGUCUCAACAAGGGACUCGGCGAAAUUGUAGUACCGGUGAAGAUGCCGGUUACCCGCAAUUGGACGGAAAGACCCCGUAGAGCUUUACUGCAGCUUAGCAUUGAGUUUCGGUAUUGUCUGUACAGGAUAGGUGGGAGACGGAGAAGCAGGGCCGUCAGGUUCUGUGGAGUCGACCUUGGGAUACCACCCUGAUGAUACUGGAGCUCUAACCGGAGGCUUUGAAGCAAGUCACGGGACAUUGCUAGGCGGGCAGUUUGACUGGGGCGGUCGCCUCCUAAAAUGUAACGGAGGCGCUCAAAGGUUCCCUCAGUGCGGUUGGAAAUCGCGCGAAGAGUGUAAAGGCAGAAGGGAGCCUAACUGCGAGACUGACAAGUCGAGCAGGGACGAAAGUCGGACUUAGUGAUCCGGUGGUACCAAGUGGAAGGGCCAUCGCUCAACGGAUAAAAGCUACCUCGGGGAUAACAGGCUGAUCUCCCCCAAGAGUCCACAUCGACGGGGAGGUUUGGCACCUCGAUGUCGGCUCGUCGCAUCCUGGGGCUGAAGUAGGUCCCAAGGGUUGGGCUGUUCGCCCAUUAAAGCGGCACGCGAGCUGGGUUCAGAACGUCGUGAGACAGUUCGGUCCCUAUCCGUUGCGGGCGCAGGAAAUUUGAGAGGAGCUGUCCUUAGUACGAGAGGACCGGGAUGGACGAACCUAUGGUGCACCAGUUGUUCCGCCAGGAGCACAGCUGGGUAGCUAUGUUCGGAAGGGAUAAGCGCUGAAGGCAUCUAAGCGUGAAGCCCACCUCAAGAUGAGAUUUCCCACAGCGUAAGCUGGUAAGACCCCUCAAAGAACAUGAGGUUGAUAGGCCUGAGGUGUAAGCGUCGUGAGGCGUUCAGCUGACAGGUACUAAUAGGUCGAGGGCUUGAUCAA
rnacentral:rRNA from 1 species